UUAUUCGAUAAAAGUUUUUGUUUUAUUUAAAAAUUUACUUUAUGGGGGAUAAUUUAUUUUUCCAAUGGUUGAAUUUAUACAAAAUUUGUUAUAGAGCUUAAAGACAAAGUUUGUGCCAGCAGUCGCGGUCAUACUCUAUUUAAAAAAUCUUUUUAUAACCUAAAGGUGUACCCAACUUUCUUAAUUCAUUAGGUGAAAUUUUGAAUUUUUAUUGUUUUUCUUAUGGUUGGUAAUUAGAAUUCUUACUAGGAUUAGAGACCCUAUUAUUCUAAGAAUGCUUUAAAGUAGUAAAUGAUUAUCUCUAAACUUAAUUUUUCUGGCGGUUCACCACUCUAACAGAGGAGCUUGUUAAGUAUAAUUGAUAACCCGCUUUUAUUUUUACCACCUUUUAUUUUAUGUACGGCUGUUAAGCUUUAAGAUAUAGCUUAUUGCUAAACCCUUUGGUUGGACAAAGUUCAGGUCAAUGUGUAGACUAUAGGGUGGGGCUAAAUGAGCUACAAUAAUUUCUUUGUUUAGUAGUUUAAACAUUAAACUGGAUUUGUUAGUAAAUUGAGAAUUAAACUCUCUCUUGGUGUAGAUUUUGGUGUAAGUACAUAUCGCCCGUCACUCUUUUGAUAGAUAAGUCGUAACAAAGUAGAAGUACUGGAAGGUGCUUCUUGUU
rnacentral:rRNA from 1 species